rnacentral:rRNA from 1 species
AUUGAACGCUGGCGGCAGGCCUAACACCUGCAAGUCGAACGAGUGGCGGACGGGUGAGUAAUGUCUGGGAAACUGCCUGAUGGCGGGGGAUAACUACUGGAAACGGUAGCUAAUACCGCAUACCAUCGGAUGUGCCCCUAUGGGAUUAGCUAGUAGGUGGGGUAACGGCUCACCUCGGCGACGAUCCCUAGCUGGUCUGAGAGGAUGACCAUCCAAACUGGAACUGAGACACGGUCCAGACUCCUACGGGAGGCAGCAGUGGGGAAUAUUGCACAAUGGGAGCAAGCAUGAUGCAGCCAUGCCGCGGGUAUGAAGAAGGCCUUCGGGUUGUAAAGUACUUUCAGCGGGGAGGCGUUACCCGCAGAAGAAGCACCGGCUAACUCCGUGCCAGCAGCCGCGGUAAUAC